rnacentral:rRNA from 1 species
UGGGGAAUUUUGGACAAUGGGCGAAAGCCUGAUCCAGCAAUGCCGCGUGUGUGAAGAAGGCCUUCGGGUUGUAAAGCACUUUUGUCCGGAAAGAAAUGGCUCUGGUUAAUACCUGGGGUCGAAGACGGUACCGGAAGAAUAAGGACCGGCUAACUACGUGCCAGCAGCCGCGGUAAUACGUAGGGUCCAAGCGUUAAUCGGAAUUACUGGGCGUAAAGCGUGCGCAGGCGGUUGUGCAAGACCGAUGUGAAAUCCCCGAGCUUAACUUGGGAAUUGCAUUGGUGACUGCACGGCUAGAGUGUGUCAGAGGGGGGUAGAAUUCCACGUGUAGCAGUGAAAUGCGUAGAGAUGUGGAGGAAUACCGAUGGCGAAGGCAGCCCCCUGGGAUAACACUGACGCUCAUGCACGAAAGCGUGGGGAGCAAACAGG